GCAGUCGAACGCAUCCCGUUGAAUUGAAGUGCUUGCACUGAUUUUUAACAUCGGAUGAGUGGCGAACUGGUGAGUAACACGUGGGUAACCUGCCCAGAAGCGGGGGAUAACACUUGGAAACAGGUGCUAAUACCGCAUAACAACAGAAACCGCAUGGUUUCUGUUUGAAAGAUGGUUUCGGCUAUCACUUCUGGAUGGACCCGCGGCGUAUUAGCUAGUUGGUGGAGUAAUGGUUCACCAAGGCAAUGAUACGUAGCCGACCUGAGAGGGUAAUCGGCCACAUUGGGACUGAGACACGGCCCAAACUCCUACGGGAGGCAGCAGUAGGGAAUCUUCCACAAUGGACGAAAGUCUGAUGGAGCAACGCCGCGUGAGUGAAGAAGGGUUUCGGCUCGUAAAACUCUGUUGUUGAAGAAGAACACACCUGAGAGUAACUGUUCAGGUGUUGACGGUAUUUAACCAGAAAGCCACGGCUAACUACGUGCCAGCAGCCGCGGUAAUACGUAGGUGGCAAGCGUUGUCCGGAUUUAUUGGGCGUAAAGCGAGCGCAGGCGGUUUCUUAAGUCUGAUGUGAAAGCCUUCGGCUUAACCGGAGAAGUGCAUCGGAAACUGGGAGACUUGAGUGCAGAAGAGGACAGUGGAACUCCAUGUGUAGCGGUGAAAUGCGUAGAUAUAUGGAAGA
rnacentral:rRNA from 2 species